GUGGGGAAUCUUGCGCAAUGGGCGAAAGCCUGACGCAGCAACGCCGCGUGAGCGAAGAAGGCCUUCGGGUUGUAAAGCUCUGUCAGGAGGAAAGAAGGCACCUGGGUUAAUAGCCCAAGGGCUGACGGUACCUCCAAAGGAAGCCACGGCUAACUACGUGCCAGCAGCCGCGGUAAUACGUAGGUGGCAAGCGUUGUCCGGAAUCAUUGGGCGUAAAGAGCGCGUAGGUGGCUUGUCAGGUCUGGUGUGAAAUUUCGGGGCUCAACCCCGAACCUGCAUCGGAAACCGGCUUGCUAGAGUCUGGGAGAGGAGAGUGGAAUUCCUGGUGUAGCGGUGAAAUGCGUAGAUAUCAGGAGGAACACCGGUAGCGAAGGCGGCUCUCUGGAACAGUACUGACGCUGAGGCGCGAAAGCUAGGGGAGCGAACAGGAUUAGAAACCCCAGUAGUCC
rnacentral:rRNA from 1 species